CCUACGGGAGGCAGCAGUGGGGAAUCUUGCGCAAUGGGCGAAAGCCUGACGCAGCAACGCCGCGUGCGGGAUGACGGCCUUCGGGUUGUAAACCGCUUUCAGUGGGGACGAACCAAGACGGUACCCACAGAAGAAGCCCCGGCCAACUACGUGCCAGCAGCCGCGGUAACACGUAGGGGGCGAGCGUUGUCCGGAUUUAUUGGGCGUAAAGAGCUCGUAGGCGGUUCGAUAAGUCGGGUGUGAAACCUCCAGGCUCAACCUGGAGACGCCACCCGAUACUGUCGUGACUAGAGUCCAGUAGGGGAGCGUGGAAUUCCUGGUGUAGCGGUGAAAUGCGCAGAUAUCAGGAGGAACACCAGUGGCGAAGGCGGCGCUCUGGGCUGGAACUGACGCUGAGGAGCGAAAGCGUGGGGAGCGAACAGGAUUAGAUACCCUGGUAGUCCACGCCGUAAACGUUGGGUACUAGGUGUGGGGUCUUAUCAACGGAUUCCGUGCCGCAGCUAACGCAUUAAGUACCCGCCUGGGGAGUACGGCCGCAAGGCAAAACGUUAAAUGAAAUUGACGG
rnacentral:rRNA from 1 species